rnacentral:lncRNA from 1 species
CUGUCUGUUUCCAAGCAUCAACAGUCGUGUCUGGGGCUUUAAAAAUCAGUAGGAAGAUCCACUUCAAAUCCAGAUCUUGAGGGGGAAGAUAACGAUACACAUCUUUAACCUGGGCCAUACUUUCUGUUGGAAGUCCGUAUACGGUCAUGGAAGAACGCCGCUUUUGCUCUUUGCCUGCUUGCUCUCACCUUGUUGGCAAGUCCAUCUCCCCCUUGGCAUGAGAUCCUGCUUCUUCAAGAUUCCAGUGUACACUGAAGACUAGCCGAGGCAUCCAGCCCCAUGGACUGGGCAACUUCUAGAUUCUUGGACUUUCAGUUCAC